rnacentral:rRNA from 1 species
GAUGAACGCUGGCGGCGUGCCUAAUACAUGCAAGUCGAACGCUUCACUUCGGUGAAGAGUGGCGAACGGGUGAGUAAUACAUAAGUAACCUGGCAUCUACAGGGGGAUAACUGAUGGAAACGUCAGCUAAGACCGCAUAGGUGUAGAGAUCGCAUGAACUCUAUAUGAAAAGUGCUACGGGACUGGUAGAUGAUGGACUUAUGGCGCAUUAGCUUGUUGGUAGGGUAACGGCCUACCAAGGCGACGAUGCGUAGCCGACCUGAGAGGGUGACCGGCCACACUGGGACUGAGACACGGCCCAGACUCCUACGGGAGGCAGCAGUAGGGAAUUUUCGGCAAUGGGGGAAACCCUGACCGAGCAACGCCGCGUGAAGGAAGAAGUAAUUCGUUAUGUAAACUUCUGUCAUAGAGGAAGAACGGUGGAUAUAGGGAAUGAUAUCCAAGUGACGGUACU